AGUGAACGCUGGCGGCAGGCCUAACACAUGCAAGUCGAACGGCAGCACAGGAGAGCUUGCUCUCUGGGUGGCGAGUGGCGGACGGGUGAGGAAUACAUCGGAAUCUACCUUUUCGUGGGGGAUAACGUAGGGAAACUUACGCUAAUACCGCAUACGACCUUAGGGUGAAAGCGGAGGACCUUCGGGCUUCGCGCGGAUAGAUGAGCCGAUGUCGGAUUAGCUGGUUGGCGGGGUAAAGGCCCACCAAGGCGACGAUCCGUAGCUGGUCUGAGAGGAUGAUCAGCCACACUGGAACUGAGACACGGUCCAGACUCCUACGGGAGGCAGCAGUGGGGAAUAUUGGACAAUGGGCGCAAGCCUGAUCCAGCCAUGCCGCGUGGGUGAAGAAGGCCUUCGGGUUGUAAAGCCCUUUUGUUGGGAAAGAAAAGCAGUCGGUUAAUACCCGAUUGUUCUGACGGUACCCAAAGAAUAAGCACCGGCUAACUUCGUGCCAGCCGCCGCAGUAA
rnacentral:rRNA from 1 species